AUACAAAAUUAAUCGUGCGGAUUAAUAAUCCAGGACUAUAAAACCGUGUUGUUUAUAUCGAGUCUCUUUUGGUAUAAGCGUCAAGUCCAUCGGAGAGAUCAUCAUUUUGUUCAUCUUAACGCCCUUUUUGUGUAGGAAAUUGAGGGAAGCUUAGGCUUCUCAACAUUUUAAGACGCCUAUGCAAGGGCUGGUAGGACAGACAUGC
rnacentral:snoRNA from 1 species